rfam:Felis catus isolate Cinnamon breed Abyssinian chromosome B2, whole genome shotgun sequence.
GCCUGGAUGGCUCAGUUGGUUGAGCAACUGACUCUGGCUCAGGUUGAUUCAUGGUUUUUGGGUUCAAGUCCCAUGUCAGGCU